CAGCCGUAAACUAUGCGCGUUAGGUGUACUGGUGACCACGAGUCACCGGGGUGCCGAAGGGAAACCGUGAAACGUGCCGCCUGGGAAGUACGGCCGCAAGGCUGAAACUUAAAGGAAUUGGCGGGGGAGCACAACAACGGGUGGAGCCUGCGGUUUAAUUGGACUCAACGCCGGACAACUCACCGGGAACGACAGCAAUAUGUAGGCCAGGCUGAAGACCUCGCCUGAAUCGCUGAGAGGUGGUGCAUGGCGUAGACGUCU
rnacentral:rRNA from 1 species